GAUGAACGCUGGCGGCGUGCCUAAUACAUGCAAGUCGAGCGAAUGGAUUAAGAGCUUGCUCUUAUGAAGUUAGCGGCGGACGGGUGAGUAACACGUGGGUAACCUGCCCAUAAGACUGGGAUAACUCCGGGAAACCGGGGCUAAUACCGGAUAACAUUUUGAACCGCAUGGUUCGAAAUUGAAAGGCGGCUUCGGCUGUCACUUAUGGAUGGACCCGCGUCGCAUUAGCCAGUUGGUGAGGUAACGGCUCACCAAGGCAACGAUGCGUAGCCGACCUGGGAGGGUGGUCGGCCACACUGGGACUGGGACACGGCUCAGACUCCUACGGGAGGCAGCAGUAGGGAAUCUUCCGCAAUGGACGAAAAUCUGACGGAGCAACGCCGCGUGAGUGAUGAAGGCUUUCGGGUCGUAAAACUCUGUUGUUAGGGAAGAACAAGUGCUAGUUGAAUAAGCUGGCACCUUGACGGUACCUAACCAGAAAGCCACGGCUAACUACGUGCCAGCAGCCGCCGCCG
rnacentral:rRNA from 1 species